AAAAGAGAUCUAGGGAAAAGGGUACGUUAAUUUUUUUAUCAUGUAUUGUUAUUAUUUUUUAAUUUACUUCUUUUUCUCUUUAUUCUUUAUUGCUUAAUUUGC
rnacentral:ribozyme from 1 species